rnacentral:rRNA from 1 species
UUAAGCGACUAAGCGUACACGGUGGAUGCCCUGGCAGUCAGAGGCGAUGAAGGGCGUGCUAAUCUGCGAUAAGCGCCGGUAAGGUGAUAUGAACCGUUAUAACCGGCGAUACCCGAAUGGGGAAACCCAGUGUGAUUCGUCACACUAUCAUUAACUGAAUCCAUAGGUUAAUGAGGCGAACCGGGGGAACUGAAACAUCUAAGUACCCCGAGGAAAAGAAAUCAACCGAGAUUCCCCCAGUAGCGGCGAGCGAACGGGGAGGAGCCCAGAGCCUGAAUCAGCAUGUGUGUUAGUGGAAGCGUCUGGAAAGGCGCGCGAUACAGGGUGACAGCCCCGUACACAAAAGCGCAUGUGCUGUGAGCUCGAUGAGUAGGGCGGGACACGUGGUAUCCUGUCUGAAUAUGGGGGGACCAUCCUCCAAGGCUAAAUACUCCUGACUGACCGAUAGUGAACCAGUACCGUGAGGGAAAGGCGAAAAGAACCCCGGCGAGGGGAGUGAAAAAGAACCUGAAACCGUGUACGUACAAGCAGUGGGAGCACCCUUUGGGGUGUGACUGCGUACCUUUUGUAUAAUGGGUCAGCGACUUAUAUUCUGUAGCAAGGUUAACCGUAUAGGGGAGCCGGAGGGAAACCGAGUCUUAAUUGGGCGUUAAGUUGCAGGGUAUAGACCCGAAACCCGGUGAUCUAGCCAUGGGCAGGUUGAAGGUUGGGUAACACUAACUGGAGGACCGAACCGACUAAUGUUGAAAAAUUAGCGGAUGACCUGUGGCUGGGGGUGAAAGGCCAAUCAAACCGGGAGAUAGCUGGUUCUCCCCGAAAGCUAUUUAGGUAGCGCCUCGUGAAUUCAUCUCCGGGGGUAGAGCACUGUUUCGGCUAGGGGGCCAUCCCGGCUUACCAACCCGAUGCAAACUGCGAAUACCGGAGAAUGUUAUCACGGGAGACACACGGCGGGUGCUAACGUCCGUCGUGAAGAGGGAAACAACCCAGACCGCCAGCUAAGGUCCCAAAGUCAUGGUUAAGUGGGAAACGAUGUGGGAAGGCCCAGACAGCCAGGAUGUUGGCUUAGAAGCAGCCAUCAUUUAAAGAAAGCGUAAUAGCUCACUGGUCGAGUCGGCCUGCGCGGAAGAUGUAACGGGGCUAAACCAUGCACCGAAGCUGCGGCAGCGACGUUUAUGCGUUGUUGGGUAGGGGAGCGUUCUGUAAGCCUGCGAAGGUGGCCUGUGAGGGUUGCUGGAGGUAUCAGAAGUGCGAAUGCUGACAUAAGUAACGAUAAAGCGGGUGAAAAGCCCGCUCGCCGGAAGACCAAGGGUUCCUGUCCAACGUUAAUCGGGGCAGGGUGAGUCGACCCCUAAGGCGAGGCCGAAAGGCGUAGUCGAUGGGAAACAGGUUAAUAUUCCUGUACUUGGUGUUACUGCGAAGGGGGGACGGAGAAGGCUAUGUUGGCCGGGCGACGGUUGUCCCGGUUUAAGCGUGUAGGUGUGUGUUCCAGGUAAAUCCGGUUCACUUUAACACUGAGGCGUGACGACGAGGCACUACGGUGCUGAAGCAACAAAUGCCCUGCUUCCAGGAAAAGCCUCUAAGCAUCAGGUAACAUCAAAUCGUACCCCAAACCGACACAGGUGGUCAGGUAGAGAAUACCAAGGCGCUUGAGAGAACUCGGGUGAAGGAACUAGGCAAAAUGGUGCCGUAACUUCGGGAGAAGGCACGCUGACACGUAGGUGAAGUGAUUUACUCAUGGAGCUGAAGUCAGUCGAAGAUACCAGCUGGCUGCAACUGUUUAUUAAAAACACAGCACUGUGCAAACACGAAAGUGGACGUAUACGGUGUGACGCCUGCCCGGUGCCGGAAGGUUAAUUGAUGGGGUCAGCGCAAGCGAAGCUCCUGAUCGAAGCCCCGGUAAACGGCGGCCGUAACUAUAACGGUCCUAAGGUAGCGAAAUUCCUUGUCGGGUAAGUUCCGACCUGCACGAAUGGCGUAAUGAUGGCCAGGCUGUCUCCACCCGAGACUCAGUGAAAUUGAACUCGCUGUGAAGAUGCAGUGUACCCGCGGCAAGACGGAAAGACCCCGUGAACCUUUACUAUAGCUUGACACUGAACAUUGAGCCUUGAUGUGUAGGAUAGGUGGGAGGCUUUGAAGCGUGGACGCCAGUCUGCGUGGAGCCGACCUUGAAAUACCACCCUUUAAUGUUUGAUGUUCUAACGUGGACCCGUGAUCCGGGUUGCGGACAGUGUCUGGUGGGUAGUUUGACUGGGGCGGUCUCCUCCUAAAGAGUAACGGAGGAGCACGAAGGUUGGCUAAUCCUGGUCGGACAUCAGGAGGUUAGUGCAAUGGCAUAAGCCAGCUUGACUGCGAGCGUGACGGCGCGAGCAGGUGCGAAAGCAGGUCAUAGUGAUCCGGUGGUUCUGAAUGGAAGGGCCAUCGCUCAACGGAUAAAAGGUACUCCGGGGAUAACAGGCUGAUACCGCCCAAGAGUUCAUAUCGACGGCGGUGUUUGGCACCUCGAUGUCGGCUCAUCACAUCCUGGGGCUGAAGUAGGUCCCAAGGGUAUGGCUGUUCGCCAUUUAAAGUGGUACGCGAGCUGGGUUUAGAACGUCGUGAGACAGUUCGGUCCCUAUCUGCCGUGGGCGCUGGAGAACUGAGGGGGGCUGCUCCUAGUACGAGAGGACCGGAGUGGACGCAUCACUGGUGUUCGGGUUGUCAUGCCAAUGGCACUGCCCGGUAGCUAAAUGCGGAAGAGAUAAGUGCUGAAAGCAUCUAAGCACGAAACUUGCCCCGAGAUGAGUUCUCCCUGAGACUUAGAGUCUCCUGAAGGAACGUUGAAGACGACGACGUUGAUAGGCCGGGUGUGUAAGCGCAGCGAUGCGUUGAGCUAACCGGUACUAAUGAACCGUGAGGCUUAACCU